rnacentral:lncRNA from 1 species
UUUAUUAAUCCAAAAGAAAGGAUUAUACUUUUUGCAUGAGAAGUUAUAGUAAUUUAAUAAUUAAAAAUUCUUCACGAUUAUUUUAUAUUUCUACUAACAUGGGUCAUUAAUAUAUUUAAAUUAUUAAUAAUAAUUUAAACUCUCACGACGUCGACGAGUAUACAGUGGCAAGAAGACCUCCGACGAGCCUCCACAUUGAAAUCCCCCAAUCCACGCUCUUCUCCUCCAUCAUGCCAUCCUGCUCUGCUACCUCUUUCUCUCUCGAGUAUUAUUAGGUGCCUCCUCUUCUUUGCCCGACUCUCCGCCUACCUCGCCAAUCUCUCAGCCUGCGAAUCUCAUCUCUUAUGGCAAACUGCUACACCUCCCCUUUCAAGCAUCAUCUGUCGACGGUGGCAUGACUUGUAAUAGAGCAUCAUUGGCAUCGCACUCGUGCAUCGAGUCUCUUAGAUUUGGUCAUUCAAUUUUGUCUUUGGCAGAUUUUAGGUUGCCCAUUUUUGAUUUAUUGUGUAUAAAUAGGAAGAUUUAUUGAAUGAGGGAUUAAAAAAAAUGCUCCGAGUAUGCAUUUGGAAAAGUUGAGAUCUACCUUCAAAUAACUGAUUAAUCGAACAGGAAUAUUUUGAAUAAUCUCAAAUUUAAUAAAAAAAAUUAAUUGAAAUUAGCUGUUAUAUUUGAUAUUAGAGUUAUUUUAUGUCACAAAAUUAUGUGAAAUGGAAAAGAGUUGGAUAUGAAACGAAAUGGAGACGUCCAAGUUAUCAAUAAAACACAAUAAUAGAGAGUCUGGUCUUGAUUGAAUAAUUAAUCAACACAAAAAAUAAAUAAAUUUCAAUUUUAAACCAAUUGACAUUGGCUAUAUAAAUAUUUAUUUUACCAUAAAAAAGGUAUAAUUUAACUUGAUAAAAAGUUUAACCUAUUAAACUAAAUUAAAACUUUUAAAUUAGUUUAAAUAAAAAAUUGAAAAUUAAUUGAUAUCAUUAACUUUGAAAACUUACUAUAAAAAUUCCCCAACUUCCUUAAUCAUCAUAAACCCAUUUUUGUAAACAACAAAACUGAAUUGCAAAUUCAAUCAACUGAAAUCUAAAAUCAAGACAAUGAAAAGGAAUUGCUUCGAAAUCAUAUCAUUC